CAAAAAACGCGUGUACGCAUGCGCCUGACAGAAACCGUUGGUGUAGUGAAUUCAAAUGUCUGCGCGAGAGAGUGGAGCCGAUGCUGAGGAGUGACAAAACAUCAUUUCCAGACGGAUUUUCAUCAUUGAAGUUAUGUGUAACCCACCAUUGCUAGGUCUGAGCUUACGAGGCACCAUUUAGUCAGAAGUCAGAAGUGUAAAAAAGGAACCACUAUGAAUUUCACAAGCCAUUGGAGAACCACACAACUGCAAUGAAAAUUGGAAUAGUAAGCAUCAGCAGUUGCACUUCAAGAGCCCUGUCAAGUGUGCUAAAUGUCUCCGUUGUCCUGGAAGAGGAGGUGGUGCUUCACAAUUUAGGAGACUUUGUAAAUGUAUUUAUUGUACUCUUUGGAUUAUUGUGUGCACUCAACAUGGAGUACAACAAGGAUUUAUAAUAAAAGGUUAGUUCACCAAAAAUGGAAAUUGUCAUUAAUUACUCACCCUCAUGUCGUACCCAAACCCGUAAGACCUUCAGUCAUCUUCAGAACACAUAUUAAGAUAUUUUUGAUAAAUCCAAGAGCUCUCUGACCCUCCGUAGGAAGCUAUGCAACUUACACAUUCAAGUUCCAGAACAGUAGGAAAGACAUCAUUAAAGUAUUCAGCGUGAGUCCAGUGGUUUAACCUAAAUUUUAUGAAGCAGCUCAAGAGUUUUGUUUGCAGAAAAAAAACAAAAAACAAUUUACUACUUUAUUUACAAAAUAAUAGCCAAAGUGUGGUGGUGCUUCCCCUAUUGGGUUGCAGAUCAAUGUUUUAGUAAAUAAGGUGGUUAUUUAUUUAUUUUUGUGCACACAAAGCACUCGCGUUGGUUCCUAAAAUUGAGGUUUAAACCACUGGAGUCACGUUGAUUACUCUAAUGAUGUCUUUCCUACUGUUCUGGACCUUGAUUUUCUGAAUUGAAUUUUCAUUUUUUUAGGUGAACUAACCCUAAAAAGUUCAAAGUACCUCUUAUGAGAUUAUUUAUUUAUUUUAUUUUAUUUUUUGGCAAAUAUUUGAAGUGUAAGUUUCAAGAGUACCUUUUGUGAGAAUGGUAAUAUUCAGGUGAGAUUACACUAAACACUGGUUGAAGUAACCUCAGAUAAAUGAUUACAUUUUAUGGUGUUUUUGAUAUUUUUGCAUGUUUGUGAAUGUAUUAAUGUUUAAAGUGCAAUUCAUCAGCUUUGUGUCUCUUAUGAGAAUUAAAAUGCAUGAUUUUGUAAGGUUU